rnacentral:misc_RNA from 1 species
AAAGGAAAAAGAAACAAAAUAAUACAGCAAUAGUGAACCUAUAUCCAAAUAUACCAGAUGCCAAAACCAACGCUAAACAGAAAUACUAAGCUUCGACAAAUUAUCCAAACUCACCAUACAAAAAUAUGAUCGACCACACCAGAAGCUUGAAUGGUCCUAAAAUCUUACCAAAGACAUUUAGGUCUACUAGUUGUCUCAAGAAUACCAGACAUUUGGUGGAUCAGUAAAGAGAUAAGAACAGAAACAUUAAGGCAUUAAUGAGCGUAGUUACACAAUGAGAACCCACACAAGAAGUCAUGUCUCAAGUUCCAACCAAAAACUAUCCACAGUUAAUUUGUGAACACCUGGGGACAGCAUCCCACCCAAGUUCUUUCCCCCAAAAAAUUCAAUAAAUUAACAGAAACAUAUUACAUCUCAA